rnacentral:hammerhead_ribozyme from 1 species
GUCCAGCUGGCGAGUUGCAAAUAGGACGAAACGCGCGUCCUGGAU